UCCAACUAUUUAUCUCCAUUAGGCUGUUCACCAAACAGGUCUCUCUGUUUUCUUGACCCAAAGUAGGAUUUAUCUUUUGUGUGAUGGGGUGGAGCCAGAAGACUUGCUCAGUUAAUAAAUUUUAAUCAGAAGUGAUGUGUCCUGUUAGGGCUGGAGCCUUUCACUGACAACGUCAGAUUCCUUAGAGCUCUUUUCUUUGACCCAGCAACCAGCAAUAUCCAUGGUGGUGGCUGGUCCCUCAGGUCUGAGCAGCGACAGUGAACAGAGCACCCCUGUGGCCAGGAUGGGCUUGUAUCAUUUGACCAAGAAUUGAACCAUGACUCUUCAGAUGCCAUGAUUCAGACCACAGCAUAACGCAGCACGUGCUGACAUAUGCACUGGGGUGCCAGACUUCGAUGCAUCAUUGGAUUAUGAAUCAAUUUGGUCCUAUUCUUCAAGGCCAUCUGUCAUAUCAUCCUACCAACAGGAGCCACAGCUUACCUGAUGUCGUCUGGAUAAGACACACAAGGAGGAGAAAGAGAAGGAACAGUAGCCUCAUGAUGGGAAAUUAACUCUUGGGAUUCUAAGAGGAACUCGCAAAGUCUGACGGUGUCUCUUCGGUGCACAUCAGUGGGGGCUGGUGACCUGGGGAAAGAGUAGAAAGCUCAGCUAGAGAGAAAAAGCUUCUAUUCCUAAUAAACAUGUCCCAUUAA